CCUACGGGAGGCAGCAGUGAGGAAUAUUGGUCAAUGGACGAGAGUCUGAACCAGCCAAGUAGCGUGAAGGAUGACUGCCCUAUGGGUUGUAAACUUCUUUUAUAUGGGAAUAAAAUGUUCCACGUGUGGGAUUUUGUAUGUACCAUAUGAAUAAGGAUCGGCUAACUCCGUGCCAGCAGCCGCGGUAAUACGGGGGAUCCGAGCGUUAUCCGGAUUUAUUGGGUUUAAAGGGAGCGUAGGUGGAUUGUUAAGUCAGUUGUGAAAGUUUGCGGCUCAACCGGAAAAUUGCAGUUGAAACUGGCAGGCUUGAGUACAGUAGCGGUCGGCGGAAUUCGUGGUGUAGCGGUGAAAUGCUUAGAUAUCACGCAGAACUCCGAUUGCGAAGGCAGCUCACUGGACUGCAACUGACACUGAGGCUCGAAAGUGUGGGUAUCAAACAGGAUUAGAUACCCGUGUAGUC
rnacentral:rRNA from 1 species